AAGAUGUUAAUAAAACCAUUAUACUGCCUUGUCAAGACAGAAUUGUGGGUUAAACCCCCGCACAUCUUG
rnacentral:tRNA from 1 species